UACGUAGGGUGCGAGCGUUGUCCGGAAUUAUUGGGCGUAAAGAGCUCGUAGGCGGUCUGUCGCGUCGGCUGUGAAAACCCGGAGCUCAACUCCGGGCCUGCAGUCGGUACGGGCAAACUGGAGUGUUGCAGGGGAGACUGGAAUUCCUGGUGUAGCGGUGAAAUGCGCAGAUAUCAGGAGGAACACCGGUGGCGAAGGCAGAUCUCUGGGCCGUAACUGACGCUGAGGAGCGAAAGCAUGGGGAGCGAACAGG
rnacentral:rRNA from 1 species